UUCUAUUUUGUCUUUUUCAACUUUUUUAUUUAUUUUAAUUUUCUAUAACAUACUUAAGAAAGUUUUGUUUAAUUUGGUUCAUCUAAUAAUAUAAUUUCACACUUAUGGUUCAUUUUUUUGCAGGCACUGGAAGGACACAUCUUGAUUUAUUUGUUAAUGGAACUAUAUGGAAAGGACACAUUUAUUGUUGAAUGAAGAAAUAGCCAUCGAGAUAGACACCAAGUCACUUGCUUCUUGGUUCCUUUGACAAAGACGUCACUGGAUGUUAGUGAUCAUUGAUCCAGAUGACCAUACAUGUUACUAUCUUGAUCCACUUAGAAAAUCUCCUCCAAAUGAUUUGAAGAACCUUAUGAACAGUCUCUUCACACAUUAAGCGAAAGACAGGAAGGAAUGAAAAAAAUUUCAAGUGGAAAAUAGUCAAUUGCCCUCGUCAAACAUCGUGAGUAUA